rnacentral:rRNA from 1 species
GAUGAACGCUGGCGGCGUGCCUAAUACAUGCAAGUCGAGCGAACGGACGAGAAGCUUGCUUCUCUGAUGUUAGCGGCGGACGGGUGAGUAACACGUGGAUAACCUACCUAUAAGACUGGGAUAACUUCGGGAAACCGGAGCUAAUACCGGAUAAUAUUUUGAACCGCAUGGUUCAAAAGUGAAAGACGGUCUUGCUGUCACUUAUAGGUGGAUCCGCGCUGCAUUAGCUAGUUGGUAAGGUAACGGCUUACCAAGGCAACGAUGCAUAGCCGACCUGAGAGGGUGAUCGGCCACACUGGAACUGAGACACGGUCCAGACUCCUACGGGAGGCAGCAGUAGGGAAUCUUCCGCAAUGGGCGAAAGCCUGACGGAGCAACGCCGCGUGAGUGAUGAAGGUCUUCGGAUCGUAAAACUCUGUUAUUAGGGAAGAACAUAUGUGUAAGUGACUGUGCACAUCUUGACGGUACCUAAUCAGAAAGCCACGGCUAACUACGUG